rnacentral:tRNA from 1 species
AUGUAGCGCAGCUUGGUAGCGCGUUUGUUUUGCGUACAAAAUGUUACAUGUUCAAAUUCUGUCAU